UUACUGUGAUGGUAAUUGGUCAUGGAUGAUGGAUCAGUAAUCUAACAGGGGACAGGAGGAAGUAGUCCAGCUGAGAGGGUCAUUCUGGUCACUGACAGCAUUGAGGACUACAUACAGACCACCGGCUCACACGUGGAGUCUGCUAACCAGGAGCUCGCAAAGGCCAGCCAUUAUCAGAGGCAGCUGAGAAAGAGGAAAUGCUAUCUGCUGAUAGCUGGAGCACUCAUACUGACUCUACUGAUCAUCAUCAUUGCUUUAUCAGCCAGAAAAUGAGGGAAAACAUCUAGCUGCUGGUUCCUGCUCCGCUGUGAUCUCUGCUCAGCCUCCGUCGGGCCGUCCGUUCCCUCACCCUCCUCCUGCCUCCGACUUCUCUCCUGUGUGCUUGCUCUUUUAUCUGUGUUGGGAAUAAUGUGAGAAUGUGUGUGAACAUUUUACGUACAUUUUAGGUAUUUUUAAUGAACACUGUUUUUACUGUCCUGCUCUAUACCUCUCCUGUCUGAGCUCAUAUCAAAGAACAAAAAUUCCAAACUGAUAUUAUUUUUGUUUUUGCUUUGUGUCAGUACCUUAAUAUUAACUAGAUCCACAUAUAUAUUCAGUAGUAAAAUAAAAAAAAUACAUGUCUACAUUCUUUUUUUUUUCUAGAGCACAAAAUAACAUAUAUAUGGUGACA
rnacentral:lncRNA from 1 species